GUAGGUGGCGAGCGUUGUCCGGAUUUAUUGGGCGUAAAGCGCGUGCAGGCGGUUCGUUAAGUCCGGUGUGAAAGCUCCCGGCUCAACUGGGAGAGGUCACUGGAUACUGGCGGACUCGAGGGAGGCAGAGGAAGGUGGAAUUCCCGGUGUAGUGGUGAAAUGCGUAGAGAUCGGGAGGAACACCAGUGGCGAAGGCGGCCUUCUGGGCCUUUCCUGACGCUGAGACGCGAAAGCGUGGGGAGCGAACCGGAUUAGAUACCCGGGUAGUCCACGCCGUAAACGAUGGCCACUAGAUGUGGGGGGUAUCGACCCCCUCCGCGUCGAAGCUAACGCGAUAAGUGGCCCGCCUGGGGAGUACGGCCGCAAGGCUAAA
rnacentral:rRNA from 1 species